GUCCUGGUCGAUUAGUGGUUAAAUCAUCUCGUUGUGGUAAUCACGGGCAGCUCGUUGAACUACUCCGAGAAGCCGAGGGCUCGACUCCCUCCCGGGACA